rnacentral:rRNA from 1 species
CGGAGGGAAACCGAGUCUUAAUUGGGCGUUAAGUUGCAGGGUAUAGACCCGAAACCCGGUGAUCUAGCCAUGGGCAGGUUGAAGGUUGGGUAACACUAACUGGAGGACCGAACCGACUAAUGUUGAAAAAUUAGCGGAUGACCUGUGGCUGGGGGUGAAAGGCCAAUCAAACCGGGAGAUAGCUGGUUCUCCCCGAAAGCUAUUUAGGUAGCGCCUCGUGAAUUCAUCUCCGGGGGUAGAGCACUGUUUCGGCUAGGGGGCCAUCCCGGCUUACCAACCCGAUGCAAACUGCGAAUACCGGAGAAUGUUAUCACGGGAGACACACGGCGGGUGCUAACGUCCGUCGUGAAGAGGGAAACAACCCAGACCGCCAGCUAAGGUCCCAAAGUCAUGGUUAAGUGGGAAACGAUGUGGGAAGGCCCAGACAGCCAGGAUGUUGGCUUAGAAGCAGCCAUCAUUUAAAGAAAGCGUAAUAGCUCACUGGUCGAGUCGGCCUGCGCGGAAGAUGUAACGGGGCUAAACCAUGCACCGAAGCUGCGGCAGCGACACUCAGGUGUUGUUGGGUAGGGGAGCGUUCUGUAAGCCUGCGAAGGUGUGUCGUGAGGCAUGCUGGAGGUAUCAGAAGUGCGAAUGCUGACAUAAGUAACGAUAAAGCGGGUGAAAAGCCCGCUCGCCGGAAGACCAAGGGUUCCUGUCCAACGUUAAUCGGGGCAGGGUGAGUCGACCCCUAAGGCGAGGCCGAAAGGCGUAGUCGAUGGGAAACGGGUUAAUAUUCCCGUACUUGGUGUUACUGCGAAGGGGGGACGGAGAAGGCUAUGUUGGCCGGGCGACGGUUGUCCCGGUUUAAGCGUGUAGGUGUGUGUUCCAGGUAAAUCCGGUU